rnacentral:rRNA from 1 species
UGUGACCUCAAAUCAGGUAGGACUACCCGCUGAACUUAAGCAUAUCAAUAAGCGGAGGAAAAGAAACUAACAAGGAUUCCCCUAGUAACUGCGAGUGAAGCGGGAAAAGCUCAAAUUUAAAAUCUGACAGUCUUUGGCUGUCCGAGUUGUAAUCUAGAGAAGUGUUAUCCGCGCUGGACCGUGUACAAGUCUCCUGGAAUGGAGCGUCAUAGAGGGUGAGAAUCCCGUCUUUGACACGGACUGCCAGGGCUUUGUGAUGCGCUCUCAAAGAGUCGAGUUGUUUGGGAAUGCAGCUCAAAAUGGGUGGUAAAUUCCAUCUAAAGCUAAAUAUUGGCGAGAGACCGAUAGCGAACAAGUACCGUGAGGGAAAGAUGAAAAGAACUUUGGAAAGAGAGUUAAACAGUACGUGAAAUUGCUGAAAGGGAAACGCUUGAAGUCAGUCGCGUUGGUCAGGGAUCAACCUUGCUUUUGCGGGGUGUACUUCCUGGUUGACGGGUCAGCAUCAAUUUUGAUCAUUGGAAAAAGAUCAGGGGAAUGUGGCAUCCUUGGAUGUGUUAUAGCCCUUGGUUGUAUACAAUGGUUGGGAUUGAGGAGCUCAGCACGCCGCAAGGCCGGG